GUCUUCCCCAGGAGCAGAGCGCCCCUCCGUCCCCGCUGGUGGGGAAGGAGCUCCCGGCCGGGCCAGGAGGUGGAAGUGCCCAGCCUUCUGGCAGAGGAAACCCACUCACGGCACAGGUGCUGCAGUGAGAGAGGCACUGGGCAGAUUGAAAUGGAGCUGGACCGGGAUGCGGCUGGGCAGGCAGGACCCAGCCCAGAAGGGGAGCCGGACAGGGUGGCUCUGGGGCUCUGGCUCCGGGGCCCCAAGAGCCCAGCCCUGAUUCCCAGCAGGAGGCAUCGCCCUCCCCAGGGCAGGAGGUGGAGGAUCCCUGUCCCAGCACCAGCAGCUUGGGCCGCUCCCCAGGGGACAGCAGCAGCGCCUGGGACUCAGGCAGCAGCAAGGCCGAUGGGCGCCGCUGCUUUGUUCCAGGGACCCCCAGGGACUCAGAGGACGAGGAGGAGGAAUGUGUGGACGUGGCCACAGAGGAGGCUGCUCUCAAAAACAGCCAACAGCAGCUCCAGGGCCCGGAAUAGCUAUAAACGUUGCCCAGCUGUGCUGGAACUGAGAUUGUCCUGUCGCUUCCCAGCACCCAGCGGGUCUUGUCUCUGAUGAUCCACCAGCCCUAAUGGGGACCUUUCUCCACCUUGAUCUGGGACCCCCAAAAUGGGGGUAUUUGUCACACGCCAGCCGGGGUCUCCUCCCCCCACAGACACUAUCCCAGUUCCUGACCUUCUUGUGUAGGAGUUGUGGGUGAUUUGGACAAUGUUGUGGGUCCCCACUAGCCCCCAUUCAGGCCUGAGUCCUGCAGCUGGUGUAGGUGGGGCAGGGAGGUCCCUGGCUAACUGUCUCUCUCUCCCCUAACCCCAGUCCUUGUGGGUGCAGGAUGAGGCCCCGCAGCUCAUGUUCCUGCCCGCCAUCCACCCCCGCGUGUUUCGCUGCACAGCAGAGAGGGCAGGACACAUUGGAGCCGCACUGCUGCAAGGCAGCUGUGCUGGAGAGGACUGUGAGGAGCUCAUUGAGGAGCUGCCUGAUAACUCUCCACCCAGCGGCGUCUCGCUAACUCCCUGAUUGCUGUCGGCAACCUCAGCACCAUGAUACCUGCCCUUGAGCCAGAGCUGGAGACCCACCUGCUUUGAGCUGCCCUGCAUACCGUCUUCACCCUGGGCACGCAGAAGGACACCACCCAAGUCCAGGAUCUGCAUAGGGUCUUGCCAGACCUCCUGGAUGCCAUGCUGGGGAACCUGCUGGCAGAGUCCACAGACACCGACAGGCUCCACUACAUCUUGGAG